CCUACGGGUGGCACCAGUGGGGAAUAUUGGACAAUGGGGGGAACCCUGAUCCAGCCAUGCCGCGUGUGUGAAGAAGGCCUUAUGGUUGUAAAGCACUUUAAGCGAGGAGGAGGCUCUUUUGGUUAAUACCCAAGAUGAGUGGACGUUACUCGCAGAAUAAGCACCGGCUAACUCUGUGCCAGCAGCCGCGGUAAUACAGAGGGUGCGAGCGUUAAUCGGAUUUACUGGGCGUAAAGCGUGCGUAGGCGGCUUUUUAAGUCGGAUGUGAAAUCCCCGAGCUUAACUUGGGAAUUGCAUUCGAUACUGGGAAGCUAGAGUAUGGGAGAGGAUGGUAGAAUUCCAGGUGUAGCGGUGAAAUGCGUAGAGAUCUGGAGGAAUACCGAUGGCGAAGGCAGCCAUCUGGCCUAAUACUGACGCUGAGGUACGAAAGCAUGGGGAGCAAACAGGAUUAGAUACCCGUGUAGUC
rnacentral:rRNA from 1 species